AAGCUACACAACUUAACAGCAGGCAAACAAACUACGCGUUUCGAACAACAGCAAAACACAACACAGAAAACAACCGAACGAAUACUUUUUUGCUUCUUCUUUUUCAAUAUUAUUCAUCCGUUCGUAUCAAAUAAAAAAACGGAGCGCACUUACGACACACAACUGGCAACGAACGACAACGAACACAACGUCGUCGCAAGUGCUACAGCCAUUUUGUACUUUGAAUUCACAUGAAGAAAUUGUACAGCGAUUAACUGAAUCUAAGGUUUUCAGCAAAUCAGCUAAAGCACAGGGUUGUAACAAAACGUACUGCAGCUGAAUAAACUACUAAAUCACAAAAUAGUAAUGAAAUAAAAACAAAAAUAAUGUAAUGUAAUUAUGCCAUCAUAAACUACCCUAAAAAUUUAUUAUUAUAAAAAGAAAACACA